rnacentral:miRNA from 1 species
UUAAUUUUUUGUUUCGGUCACU